GAUGAAGAACGCAGCGAAAUGCGAUAAGUAAUGUGAAUUGCAGAAUUCAGUGAAUCAUCGAAUCUUUGAACGCACAUUGCGCCCGCUAGUAUUCUGGCGGGCAUGCCUGUUCGAGCGUCAUUACAACCCUCAGGCCCCCGGGCCUGGCGUUGGGGAUCGGCGGAGCCCCCCGUGGGCACACGCCGUCCCCCAAAUGCAGUGGCGGUCCCGCCGCAGCUUCCAUCGCGUAGUAGCUAACACCUCGCGACUGGAGAGCGGCGCGGCCACGCCGUAAAACACCCAACUCUUCUGAAGUUGACCUCGAAUCAGGUAGGAAUACCCGCUGAACUUAAGCAUAUCAAUAAGCGGAGGA
rnacentral:misc_RNA from 1 species